rnacentral:tRNA from 2 species
AGCUUUGUAGUCAAUGAAUGAUAUUAGACUGCAAUUCUAAAGGAGUAAAGUAAAAUUUUACUAAGGCUU